UCUGGUGGCCAUAGCGUAGUGGAACCACCCGGUCCCAUCCCGAACCCGGAAGUGAAACACUGCAGCGCCGAUGGUAGUGGGGCGAUAGGCCCUGUGAGAGUAGGUCGCCGCCAGGU
rnacentral:rRNA from 1 species